GAUGAACGCUGGCGGCGUGCCUAAUACAUGCAAGUCGAGCGAACGGACGAGAAGCUUGCUUCUCUGAUGUUAGCGGCGGACGGGUGAGUAACACGUGGAUAACCUACCUAUAAGACUGGGAUAACUUCGGGAAACCGGAGCUAAUACCGGAUAAUAUUUUGAACCGCAUGGUUCAAUAGUGAAAGACGGUCUUGCUGUCACUUAUAGAUGGAUCCGCGCUGCAUUAGCUAGUUGGUAAGGUAACGGCUUACCAAGGCAACGAUGCAUAGGCGACCUGAGAGGGUGAUCGGCCACACUGGAGCUGAGACGCGGUCCAGACUACUACGGGAGGCAGCAGUCGGGAAUGUUCCGCAAUAGGCGAGAGCCUGACGGAGCGACCCCGCGUGAGAGGUGACGGUCUUCGGAUCGUAAAGCUCUGUUAUUAGUGAAGAACAUAUGUGUAAGGAACUGUGCCCAUCUUGACGGUACCUAAUCAGAAAGCAACGGCUAACUACGUG
rnacentral:rRNA from 1 species